rnacentral:rRNA from 1 species
CAGUCGCCGCGGGAAUACGAAGGGUGCAAGCGUUACUCGGAAUUACUGGGCGUAAAGCGUGCGUAGGUGGUGGUUUAAGUCCGUUGUGAAAGCCCUGGGCUCAACCUGGGAAUUGCAGUGGAUACUGGGUCACUAGAGUGUGGUAGAGGAUAGUGGAAUUUCCGGUGUAGCAGUGAAAUGCGUAGAGAUCGGAAGGAACAUCUGUGGCGAAGGCGACUAUCUGGGCCAACACUGACACUGAGGCACAAAAGCGUGGGGAGCAAACAGGAUUAGAUACCCGAGUAGUCCCUGUCUCUUAUAC